GAUAGAAUGGCCUGGCAGGCCGCAUCUGGUCCCUGGGCCGCAUUUUGCCCACCCCUGCGCUAAACGAAGCCGGUCCCAGUGUCCAGUUGAUGCCCGAAGAAAAAGCUGUUUCCUCGACUCCUCUCGUUGGAACCAGCGCUGCACGUCUCUGGGUCCCUCCUGCUGGAGAUUUAUUUAUGGAAAAUCACUCUACUGGCUCUGAAAAAUGCUGCAGCCUGCAAGGACCAAAAAAAAAUCAAUAAAUAAUUUGGAGGCAGUGAACUCAGUUGGUGGACUGACUCUCCGUGGGCUCCUCACCAUUGCUUGGCAGCUUUCAGUGACGGGUGUAAUGAGCCUGGCUGAAACAUAUGUGAAUAUCUACGGUAAAAGUCCAGGCCCAGGACUGAAGGGCGUAGGAACUGAAGAACGCAUUUGAACACGCUGCAAUGAUGCGAGAAAGGUGGUGAGGAAGGGAAGCAUGCAUCUCCAAAACAGGGGUACAUGUUGCUACAUGAGACUUUUUAAUCAUAUAAUUGUGACCAUAUUUUUGAGACAAAAGAACAUCAAAACUGUACAUCUGCAAUUUGCUCAGAAGAACACACUUCCUAAUGGGGAACAGAACCCGUCUUGAAAAAAUGCACGGGUUCGCCCAAGAAAUUCUACAUGUGCUUGUUAUUUAAACCAGAUUCGGGGGAAAAAAAUGACUCGAGUUGCAUUGCCUUCCUCUUGUGGCCUGGGUACCUCAUAAUACCUGUAAGACAUUUAGAGCUUGACGCUGAUGCUUGGUGUAAGUCAAGAAGAUCUCGAUUGAAAUCAGCUGGUGCAUGGGUGCAAAAACAGUGAGAGACCAGACUCAGGCCCUAAUUAGGUCUGAAAUCCAAUGAAAUUAAUAGGAGAUUCAAUGAAAUGAAUAGGAGAUUCAGCAAGUGGCACAAUCUAAAAGGUCCUUCCAUUUUUUCAAGUGAUUCUAUUUCUAUUAUUACUCUAGUAUGGAUUAUUCUGCUAUUGCUAAGAGAUGCCUGACUACUAACUAAAUAUAUAGAUGAUAACACAGGCUCCACCAGGUCUUUAUAUACUGUAUGUACCAUGUGGUUUGUACAUAUGGAAAGAAUUGAUCAAGUGAUACCUCUCUCCUCACACCUAGUAACCUUAUUGUGCCUGAUAGGAUUCUUGUCUCUGUUUUCUUUCCUGCUGUAAAUCCAGACUUCACACGGUGUAUGAACAGCCAUGGUCAGAGAUCUAAUUGGAAGAGUUAGGGUAGCUCAAUGGACUCUUACGGAUAACGAAGCCCUAAUAGAGUAACAAAUCCUGCCCAUUUGAAACCAGAAUAUCUCCAGAAUGAAGUGACUGUUCAAACAUGGAGAGUUAGGGUAGAUCUGCAAUGGGACCCCGGAGAGCUUGACACGGCACCCUGAAGGUUCAAGUGAUGACCUUCCCCUGCUUUGCACUUUUUUGUGUGGGCAUCCACACCCGAGCACUGUGCGCACGUGACAAUGGUAGCACGUUACAUGCACUUGGGAAUGAUUUUGCAAAAGAUGGCAUGAAACAGCGGAGAAUCAAUUCCUUAUAAAGGAUGGAGCUGGAGCUUGGACAUGCGUGUGAUUUCUAGUUACAAAAAUGUAUUCGAUUUUUUUUAAUCCAAUGCCAGAGGAUUUUCCCGUGCCCAGAGGCUAUGUGCUGGGUUCCCUGCUCUCCACACCGGAGCGAGGAUAUUCCUAGUGUGAAAGGAAAUGUGGGCUUGUGGUUUCCUUCAAGAAAAUCCCUAGCAGGGAAAGGACCAAAAGGGGACAACAAGGGAAAGCAGCACAGACAACACAAGAAAAAUCGAUAGUUAAAAUUAAAAAACUUUGACAAUAGAUCUGGUGUUUAAAAAGGUUAAGCGCUAGAUCAGGGGCGGGCAAUUAUUUUGGGCAGAGGGCUGCUUACUGAGUCUUGGCAAGCCAUCUAGGGCCGCAUGACAGGCAGCCAGGGGGAGAUAAAUAUUAAUUUUCUAAAUUGUUUAAGGGCCCUGCAGGACGGAUAGAACGGCCUAGCGGGCCGCUUCCGGCCCCCAGGCCGCAUUUUGCCCACCCCUGUGCUAGAUCUUAUAACCCCUACUCACAUGGAUGACCAUUUAUGUCCAUAUAUUCACAUUUAAACGAAUAGGACUACUUGUUCACACAGGACUACUUGUUCGCGAGUAAAGCACUCUUCUGGUGAGAACGAACUCGGGCAACUGGCCCCGUCUGUCAAAGCAGCCGCUCUAACGAUGAGCCACGGUGAAGAAAGCCAUUUAGCGAUACCCUAACUUCAAGAAUAAACUCAACAAAGUCCUCCUUUCAGUCCGUAGACUUUUCUAUGCCUUUUUGGCAGGCGAAACAUAGGCAUAGCUUUGUGACUAGCGCUAAUACUGGAGUAGUAAAAUAGUGUUCAAAAAUAGGAAAACCAGACCCAUUUGCUGAUGAAGAAUGAUUUAAUUAAAGUUUCCACCGUUCCAAAGCAGGUAUGUUUCACAUCAUAAAGAAUCGCUGUCAUGAGAAUGAUUUGUUUUAGGGGGAGAAAUAUUUUUUUCCAGCAAACUGUUGACUUCAUUGGUAGGCAAUUAAAUAUUUCGCUUGUUAACUGGA